UACAGAGGGUGCAAGCGUUGUUCGGAAUUAUUGGGCGUAAAGGGCGCGUAGGCGGUUAUAUAAGUUAGGUGUGAAAUCCCUGGGCUUAACCUAGGAACUGCAUUUAAUACUGUAUAACUAGAGUGCGGUAGAGGGUAGUGGAAUUUCCGGUGUAGCGGUGAAAUGCGUAGAUAUCAGGAGGAACACCGGUGGCGAAGGCGGGUCUCUGGGCAACAACUGACGCUGAGGAGCGAAAGCGUGGGGAGCGAACAGG
rnacentral:rRNA from 1 species